UAGUUCCUUUUAGAGUGAGAAAUACAAAGAUAUGCUAAAGUAAAUUUACAAAUAGGAACAUACCUUUUCUUACAAGCACAUACACACACACCCUUACUGUUGAAAGUUGACUUAUGUACUCACCUCAGCUGUGUUAUCCCAUGCUAGGUAACAAUGUUCCAUUUAUGGGAGUGUAAGUGUAAAAUCAAAAGGCUAAUUCAGCUCAAAAGCCCUUUUGGUGUGCUGAAAAUUCAGUGGGUAAGGUAAUGCAGGCUAGUAGCUGUCAGGACACAUUGCUUUUCAUUCAAAGAGAGGCCAUUCUCCUGUUUUUUUAAAAAAAAUUCAUGCAUCAUUUGCAACUGACUUUGCAAAUUCUUUCACGAGUAAAGUUGAUUUGUCUUUAUUUAAAACUUUUAUUUAAUUUUAACAUAUCUGAAGAUUUUCGUUGCACAGGUGCCACAAAACUCAAAGGUUGUAUUUAGGACUAAGAGACUAACUUCAAAGGAAUUUCCAGUGCAGGUUAUAUUUAAUGGUGGACUUGACGUGUCACAAAUGUAGCUCUAGUUAAUCAUUUUUUGUGUCACAAAGUCAUUCCUGCAUACAGUGAUGACAAUAAACACCAAGACCAAUACUGAAGAAAAUAUGUGUGACGAUUUCAUUAAUUUUACAGCAGUUAUACACAAACAACAAUUUAUUUGACACAUUUUCAUAAGAUUUUAUUUGCAGCAGCUACGGCUAUCAUGAAUGAAACACCACGUUGUGUGAAACCUUAACAGCUGUGUUUUCAUUCUUCUGUGACAAACUUGCUUUUUUAAAGUGAGGGAAAUCACAGAGCUCACCUGGUAAAGACACAAAUCCAAAGCAAUUCUAACUAAUCUCCCCCUACGUAGCUUUAAUGCCACUAAACCGUGCAUUAUACUUUAUUUGAAGCAUUUAUUGCACAUCUCGUAUAUAAUGCCACAAGAGAGCAGGCGCAUUUGUCACAGUUAAAAGUUGAAACAAAAAAUAAACUAUAGAAGAAAAGGCACCGGUGAACUGAAUAGCAGGUUUAGCCUAAAUUAAAGUUUGCCACAUUUGAACAUGAGCUAUAUGACACGAGCGUUGAGGGAUCAAAAACAGCUCAGCUGAACAUAACCAUAAUGUGGCUGUUUUAGAAAAAGCAUAUUACAAGCAUGAUGCUAGACACGAGAGAUGUAUAUUUUUGAUUAAAAAAUAUAAUGUAAUAUUUGAAAUAAUAAAGGGUAGUAAAGACUUUCCUUGGAGAUAAAAAUUAUCUUAUCUUACCUUCGAACACUGGAUUAAUGGCAUUUAUAUAAAUACCCUGUUGGCUGCAGGUUUGAAUUUGGUUUCACUUUUACCAAAAAAAGGAAGGUUAUUAUACAGUGUUCUCCAACUCAAUGACAGCCACCAGACAUAUAGAUUCUGUGUGUAUAAGCAUCCAAAACAGGUUUGCGUAAAAUGCAGAGGGAAAGCAGCUAUAUAGAGAUAUAGAAUCUACUUGUGCAAGCAGUGAAAUGAAUAUCAUGGACUCUCCCUCAUGAUAAAGUAUUUUUCAAGGUCUGUCUGGAGGAGGACAUAACUGUAGAGCCCACACUCCUGAGCAUGCAGUUGUAAUGUCUAACAACUCCCUCCAUUUCUCAUAUUCAGCUAAUUUGAGUCUUUCCGUCUCGCUGUGGUGCUGUGUGCUCUAUACAUCUUCACCCACCAUCCCCUCACAUUUUCACUCUGCGCACUCUCACUGGAGGACCUAUACACUCUCAGAUAAGAGGAAAUGAAGUCUCGUCGGCACAAUUUGAAGCGCUGCUUUGAAGCUGAAUGCGAAAUAGCAGCUCUGCUCCUCUCUGCUCCUCUCUGGCUGGUAAAAUAAGGGCCCUCUCGUUAAAAGCACUUUACCUGUGCUCCCUCUAUGGAUCAUUGCUCUCAUUAAACAGAUUUGGGGUUACAUUCAAAUCACAAUUACUCCAAGCACUAACUGUUAAUGGGCACAAGGGUUGAAAGAGUAAGAGAAAUGUUUCUGACAUUUCUUUUUAUAUCUCUCUUUGAGCCACGAUGAGAACACAUCAAAAGGUGUAAGGUGAAGCAUAAACUAACCUAAACCAGAAUGAGGAUUCAUUUCAAAGAUGUGCAAUAUUGAACUGUACCUGAAAUCACAGCCAAAAAAUUUAAACUUUACGUUAGAUUUUAAUCUUAUUGUGAGCUGGGAACACUUUCUUAUAUAAUGGGUUUGUGUUUAAAAUAGAGAAAUAAAUUUUCUCCAGACUGAACUAGUAACUGGAGCACAUUUUUGCCCUUCUGUGACCUUUUAGUACUUACUGAGUGACUUUUUCUUGAAUAUGUAGUGCACAUUACGUGGAGUCUAAGCAAGUGUGUGUGUGUGUGUGUGUGUGUGUGUGUGUGUGUGUGUAUGUGUGUGUGUGUGUGUGUUUAUCUGGGGAGUGUUGUAAAUGUACCAGACUGUUGAGAACACCCCCUGGGUCCUCCUGCACAAUGUCAAGAAGAGUGCAGGCAAGAUACUUUCAUCUGUUCACCACAGAGAUCCUGCUGGGUGUAUGUGUGUGUGUAUGUGUAUGUGUGUGUAUAUGUAAGGGCCUGUAUUUGUGUGUGUGGUAAAGGAGGUAGAUAUGUCACCUUUGGCAUUGCAACACAGACAGUAAACAGUUUUUGUGUCGCAGAUACAGUAACUAUUCCCUAAUUUGACACUUGAUUAUAAAGAUUUUACAAUAUUUAAGUAACUGUUUGAACUUUGCAUCAAGUACUCCUCAGAUAAAAAUAAACCUCUUUAAACCUCACACACUUAUUGCUUCCUCUGAGAGUUUCUUUAAUUUAGCAACCUGCUGACUGCCUCAGGAAAAGAGACUCGCAUCAAGUUUUUCAUUAAUGACCAAAAGAAACCAGGAUGCGGAUGCUUUAUUAUGAUGCACGGGUGUGUGUUUAAGGAAAACAGAACACACACUAAGUUCACGGGUUUUUUUGUUUUUUUUUUGCAAUUUGAGCAUAUUAGUGAGCAUUUAUAUGAUUUUCACCUCACUGCUUCUACGUUGCAUGUAUUUGUGUGUGGUUUUGCCGUAUGAGCGAGGGCCUCUCCUGGUGACUGCCUAGGGCAAUAGCACAGGAUGUAAUCCCGUGUAUGCCUCCAGUCUCUUAGCUGCCUGCGUAGAUGUGGAGGAACGUUUUAGCCCCUGCAGUGUGCCGUAGGGCACAAGUGCUCUCCCUCCCGUACUGCUAACAGACAGCAGCUGGCUGGUGCAGCGCCACAGUUUCUUCUGAGCUCUCACCAUAUGUGUGUGACUCUUUCUGCACUCUGUAUCUGUGUGGCACGGUUCAAUUUGCAGCAAUGAGAGAUGCCUUAAGGAGGGAGAAAUUGACUUUUGACAGCCAUUAUAUUAAAGUAUGCACACUUUCACAAAUUUGUAUCAGUGUCUGGAGGUGAAGAGCACUCUCUUGCCUGAAAAUCAAAUCAUCUACUUAAUGUACAGCCUUAUCUUGAUUGACAGUUGGUUGUGCAAAAUCCGAGAAAUAUAGUAAGUAAAAUAUACUUAUAGAGAAGCCAAAUGUCAUGCAGGCAUCUAUAGUGCUUAAUUCAGGCCCCACAAUGAGCAAUCAAAUUUCAUUUGACAAAUGAAUUCAAGGAAACAGUCUGACAUGAAUAGCUUUGUUCAGUAGGUGCAUAGAAAUCGCAUCACUUAAAAUAAACAUCAAAGGAAAUUAUCCAACCUACUACUGUGUUCUUGAAAUGGCUAAGAUAGAUUUUUUGGGGAAAAAAACUAACCCUCUAGGUUUGCCCUAAAUGCAUUCUUUUGUUGUACUUCACCAACUUUUGGAGUUAACAAGUGGCAAUCCGAGCCCUAAGUACCAGCAUAUGUGUGGAGUAUUCUGAGAAACUCUCCUUGGUGACUCAUGCAACACACAGUCAUAUGGUUGGCCUGGUAAACAUGCUGUGUGCAGUUUGCUGUAAUAUGACUAAUAACCACAAAUAUGUCACAACAGUUUUGUACUUUUUGACGCUGAAGCUCAUCAUCUGUUUCACCAUUACUGACUGUAAGUGCCUUCACCCUGAUCAAAACAAUAUAAUCAUCCAGUACUGCCAAGGUGGUGUUAAUCUGCCAAAUUUAGAAGAUGGAAGAAUUGCAUUGAAUUUGUACCAUCAUAGAUGGUUUUACCACUUUAUGUGAAACCUUUUAUAUCCUAUCACUUUUGUGUCUGUAUCCCCCUCCUUUUAUCUGCUUUAUUACGAUCAUGGCCUGACCUCCUGUGGCGUUUAUUGAGAGUUCUGAUGAGGUUCUUGAGGAAGGCUGGAGGAGUGACAGGUGGUCUUCAUGAUAACUAUCCAUCUACGGCCUUCGAUCUCACCAUGGUGCAACCCUCAAUCACUGAUCUCAUCUCUGAUGUCCACAGUUGCAACAGAACACAGCAGAAAGGUAGAUCAAUAGAUAUCAUAAUCGAUAGGUCAGAAUGAGAAAUCACUGGAAAGGUCAGCGCCAGUCGAUUCCCACAUUAUUGCACUGCAACCUCUGUGCUGUUGUGUGUUGUUGAGGGGUGGCCAUUAACUAGGAAACCCUGCAGGAUACCAGCACCCCUGUCUCGUUUUAAUAACAUCAACUAAUCCUAAUUAUUAGUUCUGCUCUGGCUGAAGGGGCAGACGAUGACAUUUUCUUCAUCUGUGUGUGAUGUGUUAUGUUACAAUAUCUGCCCAGCUCUCACACCCCUGACCUGUCUCCCUGUGACAGUUCCUCGUUAGGAGAAAGUCAGCUCGCCCCCUGCUGCAUGUAGCUGCUGCCAUACAACCAUCAUUAGUGACUGACAGCGGUGUAUGCGGUUGCCACUCUGUAAGGUUCUCUGUCCAGCGUUCUUGAACUCCAGGAGGCUGUCCAGGAGCUUUCUGGGCUCCAGAUCACAAAUCUUACACCCCUCAGCUCAGAGCAAGGCUGGUCCACCGUAGAGCUUAGCAGGACAUCCACCUGAGUUCUCAACUCUGCAGGGGGACAGGACAGGGCCAAAUCUGAUUUUCACCUCUGCCUAGACUGGUGUGAAGCUAUGAUGGAGUUUUGACUGGCUUGAGAGAUGCAGUGUCAUGGGGGUGAUGAAAUGGAUGUUAGGAGUAAGCUUAGGUAAAGUACUGUAUCUCAUGGAAUGCAGGCAUGUGUAUUUUGAAGACAUUAGUGAUAGAGGUGUGACCAGUUCCCAAUAAAACUCCCUGCCUACUUUUGUUCAUCAGAGGGUCAUGCAUCACACUAAAGAAGAGCAAAAAUGGAAUUUUCUUUAAUCAACUGUGAAUUAGUGUGGGAAUUAAAUUAAAAGAAUUUACAAUACAAACUGAACAAAUUGAAAACCAGACACUGACAUGCAGCUACACAGCUCCUUUUGACCCUCUAAACCCGUUUUGUCCAGCACUCCUUCCUUGAAAUGGCAUUAGCAUAAAUCUCCAGUCCAUAGAGGUAAUGAUGGCGUGAAAUUAUGGCUGCCUCAGCAGACCUUAUUCCCCUCCCUGCUCUCCCUCCCUCUGGGUCCAAGGCCUCAGCCUUCGACUGAAACUGUCUCCCAUGCCUUCUUUCUCUCCGUCCUCUCUCUCUCUUCUUCUUUGCCUUCCAGUUCCAUUCAAAGGGAAUGUGUAACUGAAUUUGAAAUUGAGUGCCCUUCUUUCAAGGACCACGGCUAAUGAGACGUUUUGCCUUGAAAUCUAGGCUGGACGGGGAGACCCUGAUGGGCAAGACCUGGAGAUGAUAGCCACCCUGUGCGUCAGGUGUAAGGCUGUCCGGAUCUCUCACCACUGAGAAGGGGAAGGUGGUUUCUAUAGAGAGGCUGGGGGCCCCGGCGUUCAGGGGCCAGUUUCCCUCGGGACCACUCUAAAGGACUGCGGUGACCUUCCGACCUCCUCCUCCGGCAGGUCACAGCGAGAGGUCAGCGGGUGUUUGAAGCAACAGGGUAUCAAUGUGUGACCUUCUCGCAAACAAACGGGAUCAAACAACAAAUUUACUCCCUGAACAUGGCGAUGUUUUGAAAUUUGCUCGGAGGAUUGACAAGAUUCCAAAUUUUAUGGAAAUUACCUCAUUCGUGGUUAUUUAGUUUCUGAAUUUGCAAACAAAAUAUGAUAUCCAGGAAGCUUUUCCAAGCCUUGCUCAAGUUUGUUUUAGAAGCACACAGUGGGAAUGGUGCAACUUUCUAGUCAUUAAAUUGAAUAUAUACAUAGUGUGAUGAAUGUUUUUUGUUUUUCUUUAUCAGGUCAAAUCAAGCGGAGGAUCAUUGUAAAAAUAAUUAAAAUAAUAUAGCAAACUCAAGAUACAGUCAGAUUGAUGUUAUUGUUGGAAGUGCUUCAAUAUCACACAACAUGCCAUGAAAAUGAAACACAACUCAGUGGUCUAUGAUUGUUAAUGUUUUUUAAAUGUUUUCAAACAUUUCUACUCCCACAUGAAAUAUUACCACAAACAGAGUGCCUGAUUAUGAAUAUGAUCUGAACUGGUGUGGAAGGAAACUAUGCAGAAGCCAUUCACCGUAUUUAAGGUACAACCUAAUUGACAGGCUUUAAAAUAAAUUCCUCCCUUUAUCCAGAGCAAUGUUCAGAAUUUGCCGACUUCAUUCCAAUAACUUUCACAGUUCCUGGAAACAGAGCCGAGUUACAUUGUCUUAAUUAGGAACAUAGGCUGGCUUUACAGCAAUGUGUGGGAGGACCUGGAGGUUGAAGUGCUCUGUGAAUGCAAUGUGCAUCAUCACCCUAAUAAAAUAUAACACUGAAAAUUAACUCUGUUCGACCUGAGGCACGCAGAACAACAGGGUCCAUGGAGGAAAAUGAGGCGGGUUUCUGUUUGUGUGUAUGCAUGUAGAUCUGUGCGUGUUUGUAUAAAUGCAUUUGUGAGUGUUGAACCACAAAGGAAGCAAUUAUGGGGGGAAUUUUUUUUUUUUUUUUUUUUUUACUGUAUUAAUUCUUUUAUUGGAGUGGAAAGGAGAAAAUCCCAGAGAAGAAAAUGAUGUGAUGUAGACUGUGGCUCCUUUGUCCUUUUUUGAGCACCACAUUCGCCAAAGUGCAUCAAAGUGUCAGCAACUCAAACAUGAAAAAUGGAUGAAGACUAUGGUGCAUUUCUCACAAUUUUUCUAAUAAACUGUCAAUCAAACUGCUGCAUGAAUGACACUAAUAUCAUAUGAUGCAGCAUUCCAUAUCAAAGAUCUCAUCGAUGCUCAUUCCCCCCUUUGGCUGAGUCUGAGGCCUGUCCUCCCCUCGUAUUAUCACCAUCAUCAUUUGGACAUGAAAGGAGGGAAACAAGUGCUGCACCAUUGCCAAGGAGAAACCUUGAUCUCAGAGCAUUUGCAUUCGCCACCUUGUUCCACUGGAUGUAUGAACGAGUUACUAAGGUGCUCUCUGAUUGGUCGGUGCUGAAUAGCAGGCAUUCUGCUAAUGCUCAAAACAAGCAGUGCUCUCCCCCCUCCUCCUCCACUCACUGUCACACUCAGUUGGUGGCACUAGAGGGCAGCCCACUCUGUUAGUUGUUAUUGUUUAGGAGCCAUCUACAGUACAAUUUGCAUUAAGGGACAUAGAGCUGUUUUUUUUUUUUUUUUUUUUAAAGAAUAUAUAAUUCAUUUUAAUUAAUUCCUUGAAAGAUAUUACUUCUUCUGUGAGCUUAAUGCUCCAGUUUUCCAACACCAAACAUUAAGCUUUUACAAAUUAAUUUGGAAUAUGCCAUUAAGCUUUAACUAAGGAGUUUUUCCAGCAAAUCGUGGAUUACAUAUACAAGACAUGAAAUAUGAAAUUCACUUGUCCUCAGCAAAGAAGUGUAAAAGUGAAUUAAAAUGCAAUCUUACGAUACAAUAUGAGCUAAUUCAUAAUAAUAUAUCUGGUAGCCGCCGUUAAAAAACAGGCUGUUUUAAAAUUACUAAUGGGCAGACCGCUGAUCUUGAAGUCGCUUGAAUGAUGAGCUGCACUCUCACCACGAUGCAUUUCAGUUUAAUUCUCAAAUAUCUCUCAAAUAUACUGAGAAUCUGCAUUAGAAAUAAUAGCACUAAAAAUAAACUAUGCUAACCGGCAAAAAGGGGGUUCACUGUUAAUUUACUUUACGAUUCAAAGAGAAGCAAUUCAUUUAAGCACCUAAUGCGUGUGCACAGACACACACACACACACACACUCAUACACACUGCUGAAGCAGCUAUACUGUGUGUGUGUGUGUGUGUGUGUGUGUGUGUGUGUGCUAUAGUUCCUAUCAGGAGGCUGCUAAUUAAAGGCCUACAACAAUGAAGCAUGGAAACCCCAAAGGAACAAUGUUCAUCUGAGAUAAAUUAAUGUAAGAGCAGUGGCGAUUACCACAAGGGCAGUCAGCCAUUUCAUAUUUCCAGCACAAGGCAGCGGACCUCAAAUUUUAACCAUGACAAGAUUUAAAUGGAGUUUACAUGGUGAGAGGCUUAUCACAGUUUUUUUUUUCCUCUCCAUUUUAUCCUGCUUUGCACUGGUAACCGGUGAAAGUUUAACUAAAAUUCUGCCGUAAUACGGUGAAAGCUUUAUCAAUAACAAUGAUUAUAUGUGAACAAAGACGACCAUCACUGUGUGUGUUGUUGAGGAAACAUGGACAAAGUCCUCCACAGUGCUACAUCUUAAAUGUUGUCUGCAUCUUGAUUGUCUGUGUAUUACAAAAAUUUCCUUGUCAACAGAGAAAAAACUGAAAAUCGAUACUGGAUGAUGAAUUCCUUCAUGAUUUUUCUGACACUAUUCAAACAAAAUCUUCAGUGUGGUCAAUUUGCUUCUAUUCUUUAUUGUUCGUUAUUAAACAGAACCUUCUAAAUAUA